AAGGAAUGAUGAUUUCCCACUUCAUUGGUCCGUGUUUCUGAAACAUGUGAUUUAUGUGGAAGUUCUGACCCU